rnacentral:rRNA from 1 species
UACGGAGGGUGCGAGCGUUGUCCGGAAUCACUGGGCGUAAAGGGCGCGUAGGUGGCGUCGCAAGUCAACGGUGAAAGCUCGGCGCUCAACGCCGAGUCGGCCGUCGAGACUGCGAGGCUGGAGCACUGUAGAGGCAGAUGGAAUUCAUGGUGUAGCAGUGAAAUGCGUAGAGAUCAUGAGGAAGACCAGUGGCGAAGGCGGGUCUCUGGACAGUUCCUGACACUGAGACACGAAGGCCAGGGGAGCAAACGGG